GCCCGGGUGGUGAAACUGGUAGACACAGGGGACUUAAAAUCCCCCGGGAUUAUCCCGUGCCGGUUCAAAUCCGGCCCCGGGCACCA
rnacentral:tRNA from 1 species